AUUGAACGCUGGCGGCAGGCCUAACACAUGCAAGUCGAGCGGAUGAAGGGAGCUUGCUCCUGGAUUCAGCGGCGGACGGGUGAGUAAUGCCUAGGAAUCUGCCUGGUAGUGGGGGAUAACGUCCGGAAACGGGCGCUAAUACCGCAUACGUCCUGAGGGAGCAAGUGGGGGAUCUUCGGACCGCACGCUAUCAGAUGAGCCUAGGUCGGAUUAGCUAGUUGGUGGGGUAAAGGCCUACCAAGGCGACGAUCCGUAACUGGUCUGAGAGGAUGAUCAGUCACACUGGAACUGAGACACGGUCCAGACUCCUACGGGAGGCAGCAGUGGGGAAUAGUGGACAAUGGGCGAAAGCCUGAUCCAGCCAUGCCGCGUGUGUGAAGAAGGUCUUCGGAUUGUAAAGCACUUUAAGUUGGGAGGAAGGGCAGUAAGUUAAUACCUUGCUGUUUUGACGUUACCAACAGAAUAAGCACCGGCUAACUUCGUG
rnacentral:rRNA from 1 species